AGGUUCAGAAGAUAUAAAGGUUCUUACCAUAUGCAAUUUAACAUUGUGACUUUUGGGUGUCAUUUCUUUAAGCAUAUUAGAAAAUGGCAGUUUCUGUGUCACUGCUGCUGCCCCGUGAAUUGGGUAUUCACGGAAAAUGUGGACUAAGCGGUCAGUCUAAGGGCAAGAUGAGCAGGAGUCAGACAGAUUCUUGCAGCAUAUUUCUGUCGUCACAUUCUAUGCGGCAGGAUCCUUGGAGCAUCUACCUUCUGAAUACUGUACACAGGCCUUUGUUUUCCCAUCCUUCACCAACUAGAUGUAAUGUAUUACUAUGCCGCUCCUUGCUAAAGCCAGGUGGAGGAUAUGAGAGUCAAGUUCUGGAAACAGCAACACUGAUUUGGAAAAGGUCAUUAAGUACUAUACAUGGAAGCCCACUUGUGCUUCAGCUGAUUCCGGCCAUUGGUGUUCUUGUUUUUGCUGCAUGGGGUCUCACUCCACUGAUGCGCUUUGGAAGAAAGCUUUUCCUUCAUGAAAGUGAUAGCAAUUGGAAACAGAGUAGCUGGCAUUAUGUUACAGCUUCCUAUCUUAAACCUGUGCUUUUAUGGACU
rnacentral:misc_RNA from 1 species